AGUGAACGCUGGCGGUAGGCCUAACACAUGCAAGUCGAACGGCAGCUCAGUAAGAGCUUGCUCUUACGUGUGUCGAGUGUCGGACGGUUGAGGAAUACAUCGGAAUCUACUUUUUCGUGGGUGAUAACGUAGGGAAACUUACUCUAAUACCGCAUACAACCUACUUGUGAAAGCUGGCGAUCUUCUGACCUGUCGCUAUUGAAUGAGCCUAUGUCGGAUUAGCUAGUUGGCGGGGUAAAGGCCCACCAAGGCGACGAUCCGUAGCUGGUCUGAGAGGAUGAUCAGCCACACUGGAACUGAGACACGGUCCAGACUCCUACGGGAGGCAGCAGUGGGGAAUAUUGGACAAUGGGCGCAAGCCUGAUCCAGCCAUACCGCGUGGGUGAAGAAGGCCUUCGGGUUGUAAAGCCCUUUUGUUGGGAAAGAAAAGCAGCAGGUUAAUACCCCGCUGUUCUGACGGUACCCAAAGAAUAAGCACCGGCUAACUUCGUG
rnacentral:rRNA from 1 species